rnacentral:rRNA from 1 species
GGACCCGCACAAGCGGUGGAUGAUGUGGUUUAAUUCGAUGCAACGCGAAAAACCUUACCCACCUUUGACAUGUAUGGAAUCCCGAAGAGAUUUGGGAGUGCUCGAAAGAGAGCCAUAACACAGGUGCUGCAUGGCUGUCGUCAGCUCGUGUCGUGAGAUGUUGGGUUAAGUCCCGCAACGAGCGCAACCCUUGCCAUUAGUUGCUACGAAAGGGCACUCUAAUGGGACUGCCGGUGACAAACCGGAGGAAGGUGGGGAUGACGUCAAGUCCUCAUGGCCCUUAUAGGUGGGGCUACACACGUCAUACAAUGGCUGGUACAGAGGGUUGCCAACCCGCGAGGGGGAGCCAAUCCCACAAAGCCAGUCGUAGUCCGGAUCGCAGUCUGCAACUCGACUGCGUGAAGUCGGAAUCGCUAGUAAUCGCGGAUCAGAAUGUCGCGGUGAAUACGUUCCCGGGUCUUGUACACACCGCCCGUCACACCAUGGGAGCGGGUCUCGCCAGAAGUGGGUAGCCUAACCGCAAGGAGGGCGCUUACCACGGCGGGGUUCGUGACUGGGGUGAAGUCGUAACAAGGUAGCCGUAUCGGAAGGUGCGGCU